UACGUAGGGGGCAAGCGUUGUCCGGAUUUAUUGGGCGUAAAGAGCGUGUAGGCGGCCUGAAAGGUCAGCUGUGAAAACUCGAGGCUCAACCUCGAGACGUCGGUUGAAACCAUCUGGCUAGAGUCCGGAAGAGGAGAGUGGAAUUCCCGGUGUAGCGGUGAAAUGCGCAGAUAUCGGGAAGAACACCCGUGGCGAAGGCGGCUCUCUGGGACGGUACUGACACUGAGACGCGAAAGCGUGGGGAGCAAACAGG
rnacentral:rRNA from 1 species